UACAGAGGUCUCAAGCGUUGUUCGGAUUCAUUGGGCGUAAGGGUGCGUAGGUGGCGGGGUAAGUCAGGUGUGAAAUUUCGGAGCUUAACUCCGAAACUGCAUUUGAUACUGCCUUGCUUGAGGACUGGAGAGGAGACUGGAAUUCACGGUGUAGCAGUGAAAUGCGUAGAGAUCGUGAGGAAGACCAGUGGCGAAGGCGGGUCUCUGGACAGUUCCUGACACUGAGGCACGAAGGCCAGGGGAGCAAACGGG
rnacentral:rRNA from 1 species